UACGUAGGGGGCAAGCGUUGUCCGGAUUCAUUGGGCGUAAAGAGCGUGUAGGCGGCUUGGCAAGUCCGUUGUGAAAACUGGAGGCUUAACCUCCAGACGUCGAUGGAAACUGCCUGGCUAGAGUCCGGAAGAGGAGAGCGGAAUUCCUGGUGUAGCGGUGAAAUGCGCAGAUAUCAGGAAGAACACCCGUGGCGAAGGCGGCUCUCUGGGACGGUACUGACGCUGAGACGCGAAAGCGUGGGGAGCGAACAGG
rnacentral:rRNA from 1 species